rnacentral:lncRNA from 1 species
UAGAUAUAUCCCUACAAAAUUUAACUUUUCAUAUUUAUCUCUAUAAAAAUCCUAAUGUUUUUAAAUAUACUCCUACUACUAGGAUCCGUUAGAAAAAUAUAGUUACUCAUAGAUAAAAUACUUCACUCUGAUUAGUGAACGAGGCAAAUUGAUUUUUUUUACCCCUUUUAUAUUAUUUGUGAUGGUGGAAAGGAAGAAGACCAUUGAAAUUUUUUGGGAGGUCAUUUUUUCAUAAUUCUAAUAAUUGGGACUUUUGGAGGGACAUAUUUGUAAUAGUAAAAAUGUCAUUUCACUUAUCUUCUACUAAAAAAUAAACAGUGCCCUCACGGUAAUAAACCAGAGAGACAAAUAUGAAUAUCACUAGACUUUUGUAGGGAUAAAUAUGAAAAGUUAAACUUUGUAGGAAUAUAUUUGUUAUUUGUUAUGUUUACGGGAAGCUGUAUGAAAUUAACCCUAACUAUUAUGCUUAAAAACCUACAUGCUCUGUGGUUAUGUUUCUGCUCCUAUCUUUUUUUACUAUUUUGCCACCAGAGUGUAAUAAUUAGAAAAGCUAACUAUUAAUUGACAUUCCUUACAUUAUGAUUCNGGUACUAACUUGAUACAUUUUAAACCACAGGGUACUAAAGUGAAAAAAAUUGAAACCACAAGGGGGGUUUUUGAAGUUUUCCCUUCUAUUUUUAACUCUAGUAGUUUUACACUGGAACUUACAACUGCUUAGGUGUUAUAACAUUAUUAUUAGAUUUAAUUGUAUACAGCUCCCUGUAAAUAUAUUAAAUAAUAGAUAUAUCCCUACAAAAUUUAACUUUUCAUAUUUAUCUCUAUAAAAAUCCUAAUAUUUUUAAAUAUAUCCCUACUAUUAAGAUCCGAUAGAAAAAUAUAGUUACUCAUAGAUAAAAUACUUCACUCUGAUUAGCGAACAAGGCAAAUUGAUCUUUUUACCCCUUUUAUAUUAUUUGUGAUGGUGGAAAGGAAGAAGACCACUGAAAUUUUUUGGGAGGUCAUUUUUGCAUAAUUCUAAUAAUUGGGGCUUUUGGAGGGACAUAUUUGUAAUAGUAAAAAUGUCAUUUUACUUAUCUUCUACUAAAAAAUAAACAGUGCCCUCACGGUAAUAAACCAGAGAGACAAAUAUGAAUAUUACUAGACUUUUGUAGGGAUAAAUAUGAAAAUUAAACUUUGUAGGAAUAUAUUUGUUAUUUGAUAUGUUUACGGGAAGCUGUAUGAAAUUAACCCUUACUAUUAUGCUUAAAAACCUACAUACUCUGUGGUUAUAUUUCUGCUCCUAUCUUUUCUUUUUUUACUUUUUUGCCACCAGA